UCUUCCCCUAGGAGUGGCUGGUGUGUGUGUCCAUGUCAGUAGGUGGCAGAGAGAAGAGAGGCUACGUCUCUGUUCUGACCUGUCAACAUCUGAGUGAUCAGUAGGUAACCUGACAUC
ensembl:snoRNA LOC120101350 small nucleolar RNA SNORA17